UACGGAGGUGGCAAGCGUUGCUCGGAAUCACUGGGCGUAAAGGGCGCGUAGGCGGGGAGGUAAGUCGGGUGUGAAAUCCCUCGGCCCAACCGAGGAACUGCGCCCGAGACUGCUUCUCUUGAGUCCCGGAGAGGAAGGUGGAAUUCCCGGUGUCGCGGUGAAAUGUGUAGAGAUCGGGAGGAACACCGAUGGCGAAGGCAAUCCCCUGGGCCUGCACUGACGCUCAUGCACGAAAGCGUGGGGAGCAAACAGG
rnacentral:rRNA from 1 species